CACUCUGAUCUACCAUAACCAAUCGCUAGCGUUCGACUUAGCCAAUUCCUUCACCACUACUGUAACGGAGCUAGCUGCCGUAGCUGGAAAAUUAAACUGUUUCCGAACCCCAUGGGGAGCAGGGCCACAAAAUCAUGGCCACCAACAAAACUCAGCAAAACUUGUUCUUGCUCCGGCUUUAGCUUAUGGAUAUUUGGCAGCGUUGCUACAACGGACUGAAUGGCUUCGCUCGCAUCCUUCUCCGCCGCCAUUACGGAACUACAACACAAACUAGCGCCACUCCCUCGGUUCGCUGAUUGGCCGGUAGAAAAUUAACCGGAGACAUCUGACUUACCCUCAUGGCCAGACCUAGUACAGAAGAAAUAUCAAAAUUGAGCGGAAGUACGUAGGAGGACAGAGCCAGGCUACGUACAACUCCCUGUGCUUUUUAACUUUGAGAAUUAAUUUGAUGUCGUCCAUCUCCUUGAAUUUCUCGGUGCUUUUAGAUAAUCGACUUAGGGGGUUCUCUCUCGGUAGGCUAUAUCUGCACUUGUGUGUGUUGUGUGCAAUGCGGGACAACUCGUUUCUCUCAAACAAACAAACAACAUUGGUGGAUUUGCCCGUUUUUUUUUUCCCCAAGUCACCCAAGCGGACGUGUUUUCUGGAUAAAGUGGUUGCCCAUAGACUGCCAAGAUCCAGCAACGUCAGAUGAAAAUUUCAUAACCGUGCCAAUAAUGGCAUGUCUUUGAGCACAGAGAGGAUCUCAGUCACAGUCUCAGAGCAUACAAGAGUCAGGUGACUUUGACCCCAUACUGUCAACGAAGCAGGAGCCCUGGCAAUGCUACUGGAGGAUCAGGAUUUUAAGUUGUUUCCAGGGCCGUCAUUGAUGGGUUCCUCUUUUGAAAAUGUGCGCGUAACGUUAUUGUUCACGAACUGCAGCAGCAGCCAGCUGGUUAUCAAUAGAGAACAGAAAAAGACAAAACAGAAACAUUAAUCGCAACAGCAAAAAUGAGAGGAGAGGAAGAAAAGACAGGCCAGGGCCACAUCAGGAGCCCAGAAUAUCAGCCAAAAAAUGUUUUCGAAGAAAGAAUCAGCUGUAGCCUCCUCUGACCCCCACUCCCAUCACCCCAAAGAUGGGACCAUGUUGAUGAUGGUGACUGAGUGAGGUAGACACAAAGUGAGGUAGAUACAAAAGAUCAGAAACUUUCUCCAUUCCAUUAGUGAGCAAAGCAGUGGUUCUCGGCCAACAAAGAGGCGCCGAGUGCUCAAUCCAGGAGACCGUGAAAGGAUUGAAGCAGAGGUCUGUGACACCAUCCUGAAACACACUAGGGAGCGUUUCUCCUUCACAGAUCACCUUGUUUAUGCCACCUUGUUGCAGGGGGACAGGUUUGAGGAGUACAAGGAUAGCUUUUCCUGAAGAUGCAUUCAGCAGCACCAUGAAAGCUUACCCGAUGCUCAGUGGAAGCAAGCUGACAACAGAGCGCAGUCUCCUUUACAGCAAGGAAGAGUUCAAAGCAGGGGCGUAGCCACGGGAUAGGCCUGGGAAGGGAAGGCACAGGCCUACCCAAUUUGUUCUAAGGCAGAGGUCGCCAACCUGUCGAUCGCGAUCGACGUGUCGAUCUCGGAGA